rnacentral:rRNA from 1 species
UGCAAGUCGAGGGGUAUAGGGGCUUCGGCCUUUAGAGACCGGCGGAUGGGUGAGUAUCGCGUAUGCAAUUUACCUUGUACAGGGGAAUAGCCCAGGGAAACUUGGAUUAAUGUCCCAUAGUAUUAUUUAAUGGCAUCAUUUUAUAAUUAAAGAUUUAUCGGUACAAGAUGAGCAUGCGUCCCAUUAGCUAGUUGGUAUGGUAACGGCAUACCAAGGCUACGAUGGGUAGGGGCCCUGAGAGGGGGAUCCCCCACACUGGUACUGAGACACGGACCAGACUCCUACGGGAGGCAGCAGUGAGGAAUAUUGGACAAUGGGCGAGAGCCUGAUCCAGCCAUGCCGCGUGCAGGAAGACUGCCUUAUGGGUUGUAAACUGCUUUUGUACGGGAAGAAACACCUCCACGUGUGGGGGCUUGACGGUACUGUACGAAUAAGGAUCGGCUAACUCCGUGCCAGCAGCCGCGGUAAUACGGAGGAUCCGAGCGUUAUCCGGAAUCAUUGGGUUUAAAGGGUCCGUAGGCGGGCGAUUAAGUCAGCGGUGAAAUUCUGCAGCUCAACUGUAGGACUGCCGUUGAUACUGGUUGUCUUGAAUGGAUGUGAAGUGGCUGGAAUAUGUGGUGUAGCGGUGAAAUGCUUAGAUAUCACAUGGAACACCGAUUGCGAAGGCAGGUCACUAACAUUUCAUUGACGCUGAGGGACGAAAGCGUGGGGAUCAAACAGGAUUAGAUACCCUGGUAGUCCACGCUGUAAACGAUGGAUACUAGCUGUUCGGUGCACAUUGGUGUGCUGAGUGGCCCAGCGAAAGUGAUAAGUAUCCCACCUGG